AGGGUUGGGCUGUUCGCCCAUUAAAGCGGCACGCGAGGUGGGUUCAGAACGUCGUGAGACAGUUCGGUCCCUAUCCGUCGCGGGCGCAGGCAAUUUGAGAGGAGCUGUCCUUAGUACGAGAGGACCGGGAUGGACACACCGCUGGUGUACCAGUUGUUCCGCCAGGAGCAUCGCUGGGUAGCUAAGCUAUGUAGGGAUAAACGCUGAAAGCAUCUAAG
rnacentral:rRNA from 1 species